GUACUGAUAAAGGUUCAAGUUUGGGGUUGCUAGGUAGCAACCCACUUCUCUGAUCAGUGAGCAAUUGAAAAACAAAAGCAAGAGAAAGGCAAAAGAAAAAAAAAAUGAAAUGAAAAGAAAAAGCUCACUGCAAGGGAAAGAAAGAGAGUUUGUGCUUAAAUGAUAAAUUCAUAAACGUCUAUCUUAACUCAAGGAAAUUUGCUAACCAGAAAAACCAAUUUCCUUCUUAGCCCAG
rnacentral:lncRNA from 1 species